GACGAACGCUGGCGGCGUGCUUAACACAUGCAAGUCGAGCGAUGAAACACCUUCGGGUGCGGAUUAGCGGCGAACGGGUGAGGAACACGUGAGGAAUCUGCCUUCCACUCUGGGAUAACUCCGGGAAACCGGGGCUAAUACCGGAUACCUUCAACUGGCGGCAUCGCCGGUUGAAGAAAGUUUUUCGGUGGAAGAAGACCUCGCGGCCUAUCAGCUUGUUGGUGAGGUAAAGGCUCACCAAGGCGACGACGGGUAGCCGGCCUGAGAGGGCGACGGGCCACACUGGGAGUUAGACACGGCCCAGACUCCUACGGGAGGCAGCAGUGUGGAAUAUUGGGCAAUGGAGGAAACUCUGACCCAGCGACGCCGCGUGAGGGAUGAAGGCCUUCGGGUUGUAAACCUCUUUCAGCAGGGAAUAAGCGAAAGUGAAGGUACCUGCAGAAGAAGCACCGGCUAACUAUUUGCCAGCCGCCGCGGUAA
rnacentral:rRNA from 1 species